UACGUAGGGUGCAAGCGUUAAUCGGAAUUACUGGGCGUAAAGCGCGCGCAGGCGGUUUUGUACGACAGAUGUGAAAUCCCCGGGCUCAACCUGGGAAUUGCAUUUGUGACUGCACGGCUAGAGUGUGUCAGAGGGGGGUAGAAUUCCACGUGUAGCAGUGAAAUGCGUAGAGAUGUGGAGGAAUACCGAUGGCGAAGGCAGCCCCCUGGGAUAACACUGACGCUCAUGCACGAAAGCGUGGGGAGCAAACAGG
rnacentral:rRNA from 1 species